rnacentral:rRNA from 1 species
UACGUAGGGUGCGAGCGUUAAUCGGAAUUACUGGGCGUAAAGCGUGCGCAGGCGGUUUUGUAAGCCGGAUGUGAAAUCCCCGGGCUUAACCUGGGAAUGGCAUUCGGGACUGCAAGGCUGGAGUGCGGCAGAGGAGACUGGAAUUCCUGGUGUAGCAGUGAAAUGCGUAGAUAUCGGGAGGAACACCAGUAGCGAAGGCGGCACUCUGGGCCGUGACUGACGCUGAGGAGCGAAAGCGUGGGUAGCAAACAGG